rnacentral:rRNA from 1 species
GACGAACGCUGGCGGCGUGCCUAAUACAUGCAAGUAGAACGCUGAAGGAGGAGCUUGCUUCUCUGGAUGAGUUGCGGACGGGUGAGUAACGCGUAGGUAACCUGCCUGGUAGCGGGGGAUAACUAUUGGAAACGAUAGCUAAUACCGCAUAAGAGUAGAUGUUGCAUGACAUUUGCUUAAAAGGUGCAAUUGCAUCACUACCAGAUGGACCUGCGUUGUAUUAGCUAGUUGGUGAGGUAACGGCUCACCAAGGCGACGAUACAUAGCCGACCUGAGAGGGUGAUCGGCCACACUGGGACUGAGACACGGCCCAGACUCCUACGGGAGGCAGCAGUAGGGAAUCUUCGGCAAUGGACGGAAGUCUGACCGAGCAACGCCGCGUGAGUGAAGAAGGUUUUCGGAUCGUAAAGCUCUGUUGUAAGAGAAGAACGAGUGUGAGAGUGGAAAGUUCACACUGUGACGGUAUCUUACCAGAAAGGGACGGCUAACUACGUG